CUAAUAUGCUUUUUCAACACAUCCCAACGACUGGUAGAAGCAGAAAACAGGGCAUAAAAUCUUUGAACAAAUGCAAACAACAGAACAGCUUUGGGAACAGCCAACACAACAGCUUCUCCAUCAAGUUUUGGUGAGUGGGCAGCACAUAGGACAAACAACAUGUACUGAUUUACCUGAUUAAUUCAAUUUGAACACCUUUGUAUGUUGCAGCCAUGCUAGCUUCAUUGUCAUAGCUUGUCCCCUGCAAUCAGCCAUAUCUUUUUUCAGCUUCUCUAAAAUAACCGCUGCCAUAUCCUCCCUUGUUUUGGUGUGGAUGGCAUUGAAAUCUACAAAGCAUUAAACAGGGCCCUGAGGAUACCAUUUGGCGCACUAAAUGGAGAAAGCUAGGGCCCCAGGACAGAAGAAGACAGCAAGAAGUAAAAAAACAAAACAAAAAAGGGGGCUUUAUGGGCCCUUGACGACCUGGUUCCACUGGAAUGGUUUGAAUCCUCCUUCACACACUUUUGUCCCUUUGUUUGAAAUCCAAGCUUCUCUCCCAUUUGCAGUAGGGCAGCUGGCGUUCCUGUUACCAUGAUUACUUCUGUUCUAGUUUCCUGGAUAGCUUUUUUUUAUAACUACUCUACCGUCAAUUAUCUUAGGUUCAAGAAGCUUAUUAGAUGUUGAUAUUAUAGCUUUAGGUUUUGAUGAUUUGUGGGUGCUCAUGCUCGACUGCACUGUGCUGCAAGCUCUCCAGACUGUCUCCCUUUGCCAUACAGCAUAAUGUCCAUCUUGCUAAGACUUAGCUUGAACCAGCUCUUCCUCUGUGAUGUGGUAGUCUCUGACAGGCCAGGCAAGGCAUGUACAGGCCAGAGGAGAAGCUUAAAAGGGGAGCAGAACAGUUCACUUCUGAGCGGACCAGGGAUGAGAAUAGACCUUUAACCCACAGCUGCUGAGGGAAGGGGUGAUGGAAGAGAGGAGCUUCCCAGACACUCACUGCCUGAAGGCUCCUCUCUUUGGGAAGGAAGGACCAGAUCCUGAUGCAACCUGAGAGGGAGUUACUCCCCAUUAUUGCUUACUAAUAUGGUUUAUUUACAUUAAUUCCCCUUGUUUUUUGUUCAUGAACUAUCCUGAAAUGGCUGAGAUUUUGAAGUGACCUGGCUACAAGGCCACUGCAGAAGUGGAGCAGCCACAGUGAUCAGCACCCAGACCUCCAACCGAAGGCAAGGGGAGUUGUGGAUACUCAGCACCCCUGAAAUCAGGAUGUUUUACUGACAGCAGUACGUCUUCCACAAAUCUCUGGAUAUACAGAGCCUGGGGCGUCCUUCUAACAUAGAUCUUCCAAAGCUGACAUCAUUUUUCAAAGCAAAUCCAUCAGAAGCAACAUCUUCUCUCAGUAGCACAGACAUCGUUCCAAAACCUGUAGGUGUUUCAGAGACUGACUCUUCUUCUAUUGGUGAAACAAACACCAUUCCAGAACAUGUGGCUGUGUCAGAGACUGUAACUGAUCAUCCUACUCCUGGUGGUAAAACAGACAUUGUUCUAGAAGGUGUGGAUGUGUCAGAGACUGAACCUGCUCAUGCUGUAAAUAAUAGGAGAAAAGAUCCUGGUAUGUGGGUUGAUUUCAGUACCGACGAUGUAGCUUACUGGAUAGAUCGUGGACCAAAUGACUGUCAACACCACACUGGGCCAUUUGAGAAAUCACGUCGGACUUUUACCAAUGGCAAACAAACAAGAUAUUGUCCACAAAAAAUAUUUUUCAGCAUGAAAGCGAAUGGUGAGAAAUACACUCAAGAAUGGCUACUGUAUUCACCAUCAACAGGGUCUGUGUACUGUUUUGUUUGCAAACUUUUUGCAUAUAAACCUUCAACAUCCUGGUUUGCUGCAUAUGGAUUUAGAGACUGGCGGAACACUGUUUUAACUGAACAACAUGAAAAUAGCACUACUCACAGAGAUUCAAUGUUGACUUAUUUAAAUCGAAGACAGGGCUUUGGAAGAACAAAUUAAAGGGGAGCGUGAAUACUGGCAACAUGUCUUAUAGCGUGUUAUAGCUGUUAUUCAAACAUUAGCUGAACGUGGUCUGCCCCUCUGGGGAUCAAAUGACACAUUUGGAUCAUUGCAGAAUGGAAAUUUCUUGGGAUUGUUGGAGCUUGUGGCUCAGUUUGACCCAUUUUUAGCAGGCCAUAUCUCAAAUAUGGGAAUGUUAGUUGACUCAUACCCUGUUGACUUGAACAUGAAUCUAUGUGGAGAAGUAUGGAAGUUCCACUGUUAUAUGCACACAAAGUUUAAUGAAACAGGAAAAAUGAAAUUUGGUCACAUUGAUCUUCAUAACACAAUAUUGAAAGAUGGAAUACAAUGUGUAUUUCCAAAUGUAGAGAUCACACUACGUAUUUUACUAAUAUUGAUGAUUACUAACUUCUCCGCAGAAUGCUCUUUUUCUCAGCAGAAAAGAAUAAAAAACCCUCAGAGAACAACGUGUCAGGACAGUCUUGAUUCACUUUCCCUAUUGUGUAUGGAAGUGGACAUGCUUCAUCGUGUCAGCUUCGAUGAACUUAUCCAGAAUUUUGC